rnacentral:miRNA from 1 species
GACAGGAAAAUACAAGAGAGGGGGUUAAGGGCUGCGCUGGAAAAAUAAAAAAAUAAAUGAAUUAACGAAUGAUAAUAAAACCAUCUUAUUUUAUUAUCAUUCGUUGAUUUAUUUAUUUUUUUAUUUUUCCAGCGCAGCCCUUAACCCCCUCUCUUGUACUAAGGGAC